rnacentral:rRNA from 1 species
AACGAACGCUGGCGGCAUGCCUAACACAUGCAAGUCGAACGAGACCUUCGGGUCUAGUGGCGCACGGGUGCGUAACGCGUGGGAACCUGCCCUUAGGUUCGGAAUAACUCCCCGAAAGGGGUGCUAAUACCGGAUAAUGUCUUCGGACCAAAGAUUUAUCGCCUUUGGAUGGGCCCGCGUUGGAUUAGCUAGUUGGUAGGGUAAAAGCCUACCAAGGCGACGAUCCAUAGCUGGUCUGAGAGGAAGAUCAGCCACACUGGGACUGAGACACGGCCCAGACUCCUACGGGAGGCAGCAGUGGGGAAUAGUGGACAAUGGGCGAAAGCCUGAUCCAGCAAUGCCGCGUGAGUGAUGAAGGCCUUAGGGUUGUAAAGCUCUUUUACCCGGGAUGAUAAUGACAGUACCGGGAGAAUAAGCUCCGGCUAACUCCGUG